rnacentral:rRNA from 1 species
UUCCGGUUGAUCCUGCCGGAGGUCACUGCUAUUGGGAUUCGACUAAGCCAUGCGAGUCGAGAGGGUUCGGCCCUCGGCUGACGGCUCAGUAACACGUGGAUAAUCUGCCCUUAGGUGGAGGAUAAUCUCGGGAAACUGAGGAUAAUACUCCAUAGAUCUAGGAUGCUGGAAUGCAUCUAGAUUGAAAGCUCCGGCGCCUAAGGAUGAGUCUGCGGACUAUCAGGUUGUAGUCAGGGUAAAGACCUGACUAGCCUACGACGGAUACGGGUUGUGAGAGCAAUAACCCGGAGACGAUAUCUGAGACACGAUAUCGGGCCCUACGGGGCGCAGCAGGCGCGAAAACUUCACACUGUGCGAAAGCGCGAUGAGGGAAUCCCAAGUGUUUGCUCGUAAGAGUAAACUGUUUCUUUGUUUAAAACGCAGAGAGAGUAAGGGCUGGGUAAGACGGGUGCCAGCCGCCGCGGUAAUACCUGCAGCUCAAGUGGUGAUCAUUAUUAUUGGGCCUAAAACGUCCGUAGCCGGUUUAGUAAAUGCCUGGGUAAAUUGUGUAGCUUAACUAUACGACUUCCGGGUAGACUGCUAAACUUGAGACCGGGAGAGGCUAGAGGUACUCCUGGGGUAGAGGUGAAAUUCUGUAAUCCUAGGGGGACCACCAGUGGCGAAGGCGUCUAGCUAGAACGGGUCUGACGGUGAGGGACGAAGCCCUGGGGCACAAACCGGAUUAGAUACCCGGGUAGUCCAGGGUGUAAACGCUGCUUGCUUGAUGUUAGUUGGGCUCCGAGCCCAACUAGUGUCGGAGAGAAGUUGUUAAGCAAGCUGCCUGGGAAGUACGGUCGCAAGGCUGAAACUUAAAGGAAUUGGCGGGGGAGCACAGCAACGGGUGGAGCGUGCGGUUUAAUUGGAUUCAACGCCGGG